GCCUAGCCCCGAUAGUAGCGGCAUCCUUUUACUUUUUACUUUAAAAAGUAAAAGAUAUAGCGAAUAGCGGGAAAUAGC
rnacentral:sRNA from 1 species